rnacentral:misc_RNA from 1 species
AAAAAAACAGAAGAAAAAAAAAAACCCACUAAGAAAAAUAAAUAGAAAAGUGGGUUUCACUUGCACGAUCAGAAAAGUGGCAUUCUCUGCAAUAACCCCAAAAUUCGGACUCUCACGCCCGAGACUCAAAGCUCACAAACACAAAUGGGUCUUGCAAAUAAAGGACACCAAUGAUAUCAGAAAACUCAUUAUAUAAGCAAGAAACAAAGUGCCUAAAAGCCAAAAAAAGCUUCUGCAGUGAUGGGGGGAGAUACAUGAAAUGGACCCAUUAAACUUUAAAAUGGAGAGAGAAAAAAAGCCACAUAAGAGCAAAAACGAGGGGAUAGAUAGAUAGAGAGAGAGAGA